rnacentral:piRNA from 1 species
GUGAUCACAGUGAACCAGAGACCAU